rnacentral:rRNA from 1 species
GUGGGGAAUAUUGCACAAUGGGGGAAACCCUGAUGCAGCAACGCCACGUGUGGGAAGAAGCAUUUCGGUGUGUAAACCACUGUCAUGAGGGAAUAAGGCCCUUAUUCGUAAGGGAUUGAAUGUACCUUGAGAGGAAGCACCGGCAAACUUCGUGCCAGCAGCCGCGGUAAUACGAGGGGUGCAAGCGUUGUUCGGAAUUACUGGGCGUAAAGGGAGCGUAGGCGGAGAUUCAAGCGGAUUGUACAAUCCCGGGGCCCAACCCCGGUUCUGCAGUCCGAACUGGAUCUCUUGGAUAGUUCAGGGGCAGGCGGAAUUCCUGGUGUAGCGGUGGAAUGCGUAGAGAUCAGGAAGAACACCGAUGGCGAAGGCAGCCUGCUGGGGACUUAUCGACGCUGAGGCUCGAAAGUGCGGGUAGCAAACAGG